rnacentral:misc_RNA from 1 species
GCUGGCGCUUUGUCCAUGAGUUGCGUGUCUGUGGACGCACUGGCGCUUAUUUCUGAGCACCUUCCCGGCCAAACCGGAGCCUGGGUCAGCUCUUCGCCUCAGGCACGUAGGUCAAGGGAGAGGUCGUCGCAUGGGCUACAUCUUUCGUUCAAUUGGUUCAAGGAUGCAGCUCCUUCCUCCUUGCAGCGAGGCAGGCGACCACAGCUGCGAUGCGAAAUCAACGACGUCCAAGGUAUGCGACUGUGCCGCUGGUGGCUGCUGAGGUGCUCCGGUGCUUCUCGACCCGCACCGAGCACCGCCUGUGUAGCUGAAGCCACCCCUCUGUCAGGAACUGUUCGGCUGCGUCCGCCACCCAAGCUUUCCCAGUACAUGGAGUGCCCUUUGCGGGUGUGCUGCUGGGGAAACCGUCAUGCAUCUGCGGCGAUGAAGAACGGGACCGUCAGCACCAUCGAUAUACCACGGCUGAACUGCUCUCUAGGGGAGUUGCUUUCCUUGGGCCGCAUCGAGUGCGUGGAAAUCAACGGCUCAGCUCUCUCCCCUACACCGCCGGAGUGGUUGUCGUGCCUGGCCGUCGCGCGCGGGGUCGAGAAGCUCAGUAUCAAGGCAGCCACGCUGCCCUUGAACGAGCUUCUGUCGUUUCUGUACAGCAGCGCUGCUACCCUGCGGGUGGUGGAGAUUGCUGGGAUAGCCUUGCCGCGGCUUCAGAUGUUCGCUCUCGCAUCUAGAAUCGAGGAACUGGUUCUGGGCAACGUGACAGUGCACCCUCACUCUGUUGUGGCGAUUGGCAAUGCAGAGGGACAGGGGAACGGGCGGCUACCACCGCCAUCGAAUCGGGUCCCACUUUCCGACCUAGCCUCCCUGCAGAAACUGCGCAGGCUGGACAUGACGAACUGCAAGGGUGACUUUGACUGCGCAGGGAUCGCUCGAUGCUGUUUCUUACGCUCUGUGCAUUUGAGCGGCUGCAACGUCAAGGACGCGGAUGUACCACACCUCGCUCAGUUGCCAUGCGUGGAGGAGCUGCUCCUUUCGAGGACGCGCAUCACCAACGUCCAGGCCCUCGCGGCUGGCAAAGGGCUACGGAUCAUUCAGCUCUCAAAUGCACAGGUCGACUCAGAUGGGAUAGACGGGCUUCAAACGCUGCCCUAACUGACCCGACUUGAUUUAUCCUCCACGCUCGUGAGCGACGUCAACUUCUUGGGGCAGAGCCAGAGCCUCAUCUACUUGAAUCUCGCCAAGACCCAUGUGACGAGCGAGGGCAUCGCUGGCCUGUCACGUCUGCUGACUCUCGAGCACUUGAUGCUGAACAACAACAACAUUCGUGACGUCUCCUUUCUGGCAGAAUCCCACUCCCUAAAGACACUCUCGCUGCAGAGCACCUUGGUGGACUCUGCCGGCUUGGAAGGGUUUGGGAGACUUCAAACAUUGCAAGAUUUGUCGUUGGCACACACCCGUGUCACAAGCGUCACGGAGUUACAGCACUGCCACAAUCUGUGGAGGCUUGACCUACAAGGCUCGUUUGUCGAUCAGGCCGGGAUCGCCGGUCUCGAGCGACUUCCGAAGCUGCGCAUUCUUCUGCUGUCGAAGACGGACGUGGCCUCGCUGGAGCUGAUUUUGAAAAGCGAGUCCCUUGAGCAGCUCGAGGUCAAGUUCAGUCACGUGAAUGAGAAGAGCGCCUUCUUCGGUGUGACAAAGGCGUCGGCGCUGACAGAUGUGACGUUGACGCACUGCGACGUCUCCGAUAUCAACAAUUUGGGUAUGUGCAAGGAGCUGCGGCUGCUCAACGUGUGGUCGUCCAAGGUAACUUCGGAGGGUAUUGCUGGGCUGUGCGAGGCCAGGUCGCUGCAAGAGGUUGAUCUUGCCGAGACCGCGGUGACAGACAUCAGCCCUCUCCUGAGUUGCACGAAAAUACAGGCUCUAAUCUUGUACAGGUCUUCAGUGAGAUCCCUCGACGGAAUAGGGGCACUUCGGCAGCUUCGCCGCCUCGACAUCGCUGAGACGCCUGUGUCGUCAAUACGGAGCUUGUCGGCUUGCCAGAGCUUGGAAAUCUUGAACCUUUCCAACACGGCCGUCGACGAUGAUGGGUUUCAAGGUAUUGGGCAAGUGCAGUCCCUCAGAGUGGUGUCGAUGUCGUUCACUGCCAUAACUCAGCUUGGACAGCUUGGACAGUGCUCCCAUCUUGAGGAGCUGCAUGCCCAAUCGUGCCCAGUGACCUCGGAGGGCCUCGUCGGUCUCGAGAGGGCCUGCUGCCUCGUCAAGCUGAACCUCUCGUACACAAAGCUACAAAGCGGCAUUCAGCGUUUAACCAACUGCCGCAAGUUACUGAAGCUCAACGUCAAGUUCACCGAGGUGCCGUAUGAUGAGGUUGCCUACGUCAAGCGCCACCUUCCCGGUUGUCGCGUGAUGAAUGAUGCGGCGCAGCGCAUGGCGAAGGACGUGACCUUGCUGAAAUAGUGACGUGAGAGACUCUGACACGUAGCCGCCGUGCACGCAUCAAAUCGGCCACCUGUGAUUUUUUUCGAUUUCUGUGACUUUCAUUCUAUUACCCUGACGGCAAGGGGACACCUCAGCGCAUGGCAUCUCAGGGUCCAGUGCACACCCACUCUGUGCAUUUGUGUGGGGGAGGGAGCCGAGCCGCCCCUCUAUCCCCUGCUGAUGCUGCACCGCUUCUGGCCGUAGCAGGUCAGGCACCUACCUACGCAGAGGGGGGUCGGAGCAACGCAUGCCCCCACUGAUGCCGGCAGUGAGGCCGCGGACGGCGUUGUGUGGGAGAGAUCUUCGACAGUGGACACGUUUGCGCCACCCAUGUGAUGGGCAGGGUGUCAGCGUGACGCCAGCGUACCUCAGCCGCCCCUCGCUGCCCACUGGUGGGGAGCCUGGGCCACUCCGGGGGCGCGCCAGGUGGCAACCCGCAUUUUGCGAGCGGCUGGGAAGCGGGUGGGUGGGCGGGGCUUGGGGCAGGGGCCGUGCUGUGGUGGCUGGGCCAGCGUUGCUUUUGGGCGUUUCUAGCGCUGCUUUGCGCCACGCGAUCGGGCCUGUGGCAGUCCUUGCGGAGUGGAUGCCACCCUAUUUAUUAUGGAAAAAUGAACACAUUGAAAAAAAACAUUUUCCUAUUAUUACUGUGUCUCCUUCAUGAUUGCCUUUUAUGCAGACUAGGGAGUAAGUGACGCACAUGCAGCACACAUCAAACGCUUCCGAACUAAAGUGCGGAGAAGAAAGGGCAUACGAGGAUAGCUCUUCUCGAUCUUUUUUUUGUUCGUAUUCCUCUGUGAGGAUCAGGCUUUCUUUUUUUUUAUUGUAGUUUGUUUUCUCGUCACUAGCAAGGGAGUGUGGGGAAGACGCCAGUUGAUAGAGACUUACCGGAUCACUGCGAUAGUUGGCAUAAGAAGGGUUGUAGUGCCGUACAUAAUCAUUUCAGUAGUUUGGAUUGAACGCAUAUGUCCAUGACUCCCGUCCCUCCUCCUUUUCGUCUGUUCUCUCUCUGUUUUGCCUCUUUUCUUUCCCGGUGCCUUGGACUUUUUGUCUCGGAAAGGCACUCAUUUCUCUUUUUGCUGCUUUUUCCUGUUCUCUUUUUUUUUCGUUCUAAACAUCCUCGUGGAAAAGGCGAUGGAUGCGGCAAACCUCUUUGAGCUUUUCUUUGUGGGUGUAUCGACCGAAAC